UAAUGCAUCGUAUACAUCAAGGGUA
rnacentral:piRNA from 1 species